rnacentral:rRNA from 1 species
GACGAACGCUGGCGGCGUGCUUAACACAUGCAAGUCGAACGGAAAGGCCCUGCUUUUGUGGGGUGCUCGAGUGGCGAACGGGUGAGUAACACGUGAGUAACCUGCCCUUGACUUUGGGAUAACUUCAGGAAACUGGGGCUAAUACCGGAUAGGAGCUCCUGCUGCAUGGUGGGGGUUGGAAAGUUUCGGCGGUUGGGGAUGGACUCGCGGCUUAUCAGCUUGUUGGUGGGGUAGUGGCUUACCAAGGCUUUGACGGGUAGCCGGCCUGAGAGGGUGACCGGCCACAUUGGGAUGGAGAUGAGGCCCAGACUCCUACGGGAGGCAGCAGUGGGGAAUAGUGCACAAUGGGCGGAAGCCUGAUGCAGCAACGCCGCGUGCGGUAUGACGGCCUUCGGGUUGUAAUCCGCUUUCGCCUGUGACGAAGCGUGAGUGACGGUAAUGGGUAAAUAAGCACCGGCUAACUACGUG